GGGCAUGUGGUGGAACUGGCAGACACGCAUGGUUCAGGGCCAUGUCCUGGCAACAGGGUGGAGGUUCAAAUCCUCUCAUGCCCA
rnacentral:tRNA from 1 species